rnacentral:rRNA from 1 species
AACGAACGCUGGCGGCAGGCUUAACACAUGCAAGUCGAGCGCCCCGCAAGGGGAGCGGCAGACGGGUGAGUAACGCGUGGGAAUCUACCGAGCCCUGCGGAAUAGCUCCGGGAAACUGGAAUUAAUACCGCAUACGCCCUACGGGGGAAAGAUUUAUCGGGGUUUGAUGUGCCCGCGUUGGAUUAGCUAGUUGGUGGGGUAAUGGCCUACCAAGGCGACGAUCCAUAGCUGGUCUGAUAGGAUGAUCAGCCACCUUGGGACUGAGACACGGCCCAAACUCCUACGGGAGGCAUCAGUGGGGAACAUUGGACAAUGGGGGCAACUCUGAUCCAGCCAUGCCGCGUGAUUGAUGAAGGCCUUAGGGUUGUAAAGCUCUUUCCCCGGUGAAGAUAAUGACGGUAACCGGAGAAGAAGCCCCGGCUAACUUCGUGCCAGCCGCCGCCGUAACAC